GUGGGGAAUCUUAGACAAUGGGCGCAAGCCUGAUCUAGCCAUGCCGCGUGAGCGAUGAAGGCCUUAGGGUUGUAAAGCUCUUUCGUGGGGGAAGAUAAUGACUGUACCCCAAGAAGAAGCCCCGGCUAACUCAGUGCCAGCAGCCGCGGUAAUACGGAGGGGGCUAGCGUUGUUCGGAAUUACUGGGCGUAAAGCGCACGUAGGCGGACUGGAAAGUCAGGGAUGAAAUCCCGGGGCUCAACCCCGGAACUGCCUUUGAAACUCCCAGUCUUGAGUUCGAGAGAGGUGAGUGGAAUUCCGAGUGUAGAGGUGAAAUUCGUAGAUAUUCGGAGGAACACCAGUGGCGAAGGCGGCUCACUGGCUCGAUACUGACGCUGAGGUGCGAAAGCGUGGGGAGCAAAAGGGAUUAGAAACCCCGGUAGUCC
rnacentral:rRNA from 1 species